rnacentral:rRNA from 1 species
AUGAACGCUGGCGGCGUGCCUCAUCCAUGCCAGUCGCGCGAACAGACGAGGAGCUUGCUCCUCUGAUGUUAGCGGCGGACGGGUGAGUAACACGUGGAUAACCUACCUAUAAGACUGGGAUAACUUCGGGAAACCGGAGCUAAUACCGGAUAACAUGUUGAACCGCAUGGUUCAACAGUGAAAGACGGUCUUGCUGUCACUUAUAGAUGGAUCCGCGCCGCAUUAGCUAGUUGGUAAGGUAACGGCUUACCAAGGCAACGAUGCGUAGCCGACCUGAGAGGGUGAUCGGCCACACUGGAACUGAGACACGGUCCAGACUCCUACGGGAGGCAGCAGUAGGGAAUCUUCCGCAAUGGGCGAAAGCCUGACGGAGCAACGCCGCGUGAGUGAAGAAGGUCUUCGGAUCGUAAAACUCUGUUAUUAGGGAAGAACAAAUGUGUAAGUAACUAUGCACGUCUUGACGGUACCUAAUCAGAAAGCCACGGCUAACUACGUG